rnacentral:rRNA from 1 species
AUACGGAGGGUGCAAGCGUUACUCGGAAUCACUGGGCGUAAAGCGCGCGCAGGCGGUCUUUUAAGUUGGAUGUGAAAGCCUACGGCUCAACCGUAGAACUGCAUCCAAAACUAUUAGACUAGAGUGUGGGAGAGGAAGAUGGAAUUAGUUGUGUAGGGGUAAAAUCCGUAGAGAUAACUAGGAACACCAAAAGCGAAGGCAAUCUUCUGGAACACUACUGACGCUGAGGCGCGAAAGCGUGGGGAGCAAACAGGAUUAGAAACCCUAGUAGUCC